rnacentral:rRNA from 1 species
UACGUAGGGUGCGAGCGUUGUCCGGAAUUAUUGGGCGUAAAGAGCUCGUAGGCGGUGUGUCGCGUCGGCCGUGAAAACCUGCAGCUUAACUGUGGGCUUGCGGUCGAUACGGGCAUCACUGGAGUUCGGCAGGGGAGACUGGAAUUCCUGGUGUAGCGGUGAAAUGCGCAGAUAUCGGGAGGAACACCGGUGGCGAAGGCGGUUCUCUGGGCCUUACCUGACGCUGAGGAGCGAAAGCGUGGGGAGCGAACAGG